rnacentral:tRNA from 1 species
GAGCCAGUGGCGCAAUGGAUAGCGAGUCUUACUACGGUUCAGAAGUUUCUAUGUUCGACUCCUGGCUGGCUCG